CCCGCACGCCCCUCUUUCUCUCUUCCCUUUUCUUUCUUCUCCAUCUCUCUCAGCUCCAUGCAACCCACACCCUCUCCCUGUUCUGCUCGGCCCGACGCAACCCCCCCCCCCCCCCUCGGUUUCUCCGCUCUCGCUCCCCUCUUCUUCUUCCGCCAGCAGCACCGACGCCCUCCUCUUCCCUUCUCUCUUCUUCUCUUCAGUUUCCACCACUGACCCGAGAGUUUGGGCUGCCGAGAGUGAGUGAUUUUUCUGCACAAUCUGAGACCAAAAGAUGCGGGAGUUCAAGGGUUGUGUCAUAAUGAAGACUUCAAUGGGUUCUUCAAUGCAGAGUUGGAGUCGUGAGUCCAAUGCAGCCAGAUGAUGUCCUUUCGGCUGCAGGUACUCGGGUCGUAGUUGAUGGGGGUCGUAGACGUGCAUUUGGGAUAUUAUGAUCGAAACUUGCCGCGAUGGUCGUAAUUGUGGGACCAUGGGCGUCCUCAGUUUUAUAGGUUUUGUUGUGGCUUGUGACGUAUGUGUCACUCGUUAUUGUAUAAAGCCAUUUUGUUAUGUAUUUAUAUUGUGGAAAGACUUAAACACAUAGAUAUUAA